UUAGCUCACCUGGCCCGAAGGGCCAAGUGAGCUUUUCUCAUCACUUGGCGUCCGUCGUCCGGCGUCGUCCGUCGUCGGCGUUAACUUUUUACAUUUUGAACUUCUUCUAGAGAACCACUGAAUGGAAUGAAACCAAACAUGGCAUGAAUGUUCCUUAUGAGGUGCUGACCAAGUGUUGUUACUUUGUAGCCGAUCCAUCAUCCAAGAUGGCCGCCAGCGGGGGACUUAGUUUAACAUAGGACCCUAUGGGAAAUGCAUACAAAUGACUUCUUUUAGAGAACCACUGAAUGGAAUGAAACCAAACAUGGCAUGAAUGUUCCUUAUGAGGUGCUGACCAAGUGUUGUUACUUUGUAGUCGAUCCAUCAUCCAAGAUGGCCGCCAGUGGGGGACUUAGUUUAACAUAGGACCCUAUGGGAAAUGCAUACAAAUGACUUCUUUUAGAGAACCACUGAAUGGAAUGAAACCAAACAUGGCAUGAAUGUUCCUUAUGAGGUGCUGACCAUGUGUUGUUACUUUGUAGCCGAUCCAUCAUCCAAGAUGGCCGCCAUCGGGGAACUUAGUUUAACAUAGGACCCUAUGGGAAAUACAUACAAAUGUCUUCUUUUAGAGAACCACUGAAUGGAAUGAAACCAAACAUGGCAUGAAUGUUCCUUAUGAGGUGCUGACCAAGUGUUGUUACUUUGUAGCCGAUCCAUCAUCCAAGAUGGCCGCCAGCGGGGGACUUAGUUUAACAUAGGACCCUAUGGGAAAUACAUAAAAAUGUCUUCUUUUAGAGAACCACUGAAUGGAAUGGAACCAAACAUGGCAUGAAUGUUCCUUAUGAGAUGCUGACCAAGUGUUGUUACUUUGCAGUCAGUCCAUCAUCCAAAAUGGCCGCCAGCAGGGGACUUAGUUUAACAUAGGACCCUAUGGGAAAUACAUACAAAUGUCUUCUUUUAGAGAACCACUGAAUGGAAUGAAACCAAACAUGGCAUGAAUGUCCCUUAUGAGGUUCUGACCAAGUGUUGUUACUUUGUAGCCGAUCCAUCAUCCAAGAUGGCCGACAGCAGGGGACUUAGUUUAACAUAGGAUCCUAUGGGAAAUACAUACAAAUGUCUUCUUUUAGAGAACCACUGAAUGGAAUGAAACCAAACAUGGCAUGAAUGUUCCUUAUGAGGUGCUGACCAAGUGUUGUUACUUUGCAGUCGGUCCAUCAUCCAAGAUGGCCAACAGCAGGGGACUUAGUUUAACAAAGGACCUAUGUGAAAUACAUACAAAUGUCUUCUUUUAGCGAACCACUGAAUGGAAUGAAACCAAACAUGGCAUGAAUGUUCCUUAUGAGGUACUGACCAAGUGUUGUUACUUUGCAGUCGGUCCAUCAUCCAAGAUGGCCGACAGCAGGGGACUUAGUUUAACAAAGGACCUAUGGGAAAUACAUACAAAUGUCAUCUUUUAGAGAACCACUGAAUGGAAUGAAACCAAACAUGGCAUGAAUCUUCCUUAUGAGAUGCUGACCAAGUGUUGUUACUUUGUAGCCGAUCCAUCAUUCAAGAUGGCCGACAGCGGGGGACUUAGUUUAACAUAGGACCCUAUGGGAAAUACAUACAAUUGUCUUCUUUUAGAUAACCACUGAAUGGAAUUGAACCAAACAUGGCAUGACUGUUCCUUAUGAGUUGCUGACCAAGUGUUGUUACUUUGCAGUCGAUCCAUCAUCCAAGAUGGCCGCUAGGGGGGGGGGGGCUUAGUUUAACAGUACCCUAUGGGAAA